rnacentral:rRNA from 1 species
AUUGAACGCUGGCGGCAGGCCUAACACAUGCAAGUCGAGCGGAUGAAGGGAUCUUGCUCCUGGAUUCAGCGGCGCACGGGUGAGUAAUGCCUAGGAAUCUGCCUGGUAGUGGGGGAUAACGUCCGGAAACGGGCGCUAAUACCGCAUACGUCCUGAGGGAGAAAGUGGGGGAUCUUCGGACCUCACGCUAUCAGAUGAUCCUAGGUCGGAUUAGCUAGUUGGUGGGGUAAAGGCCUACCAAGGCGACGAUCCGUAACUGGUCUGAGAGGAUGAUCAGUCACACUGGAACUGAGACACGGUCCAGACUCCUACGGGAGGCAGCAGUGGGGAAUAUUGGACAAUGGGCGAAAGCCUGAUCCAGCCAUGCCGCGUGUGUGAAGAAGGUCUUCGGAUUGUAAAGCACUUUAAGUUGGGAGGAAGGGCAGUAAGUUAAUACCUUGCUGUAUUGACGUUACCAGCAGAAUAAGCACCGGCUAACUUCGUG